UAGGUGAUAGCUUGAUUUUUACAGAAGUA
rnacentral:piRNA from 1 species